UACGGGGGGGGUAAGCGUUGUUCGGAAUUACUGGGCGUAAAGGGCUCGUAGGCAGCCAACUAAGUCAGACGUGAAAUCCCUCAGCUUAACUGGGGAACUGCGUCUGAUACUGGAUGGCUUGGAUUCGGGAGAGGAAUGCGGAAUUCCAGGUGUAGCGGUGAAAUGCGUAGAUAUCUGGAGGAACACCGGUGGCGAAGGCGGCAUUCUGGACCGAUAUUGACGCUGAGGAGCGAAAGCCAGGGGAGCAAACGGG
rnacentral:rRNA from 1 species